UUACAACUUUCAGCAACGGAUCUCUUGGCUCUCGCAUCGAUGAAGAACGCAGCGAAAUGCGAUAAGUAAUGUGAAUUGCAGAAUUCAGUGAAUCAUCGAAUCUUUGAACGCACCUUGCGCUCCUUGGUAUUCCGAGGAGCAUGCCUGUUUGAGUGUCAUUA
rnacentral:rRNA from 1 species